GAACAUUUUAAUUGGAACCAUAAAAAGAUUAGCGUGGCCCUUGAGCAAGGAGGAUAUGCAAAUUCAUGAAGUAUUCCAUGUUUUU
rnacentral:snRNA from 1 species